rnacentral:lncRNA from 1 species
GAGAGCGCGCGGCCGACGUAGGUGGGGUCAGGCAGAAAGUCUUACUCCCUAACUCUGCAGUUCCAAAGAGACGCGUUUUGAGAGGGGUGAUUUUGAGUCGGUCUUUUACUUGUAAAGAAAUACUCUCGGGAAACGUUGGUGUGGACAUUUUGGCGUAUAUUUACGAUGUCUUACUAUCCAAGCCCGGAAUGUCCCACCCUAGGGCGUCGGCAGGUCCACCACCUCUGGCGUUACGAGAAUAACUCGCCCUUAUUCACUACGAGAUCUCUAAUUGAGAUCCCUAGAUAUGAUC